rnacentral:rRNA from 1 species
CGUGUGUUAGUGGAACGGUCUGGAAAGUCCGGCGGUACAGGGUGAUAGCCCCGUACACUAAAAUGCACACGUUGUGAACUCGAAGAGUAGGGCGGGACACGUGGUAUCCUGUCUGAAUAUGGGGGGACCAUCCUCCAAGGCUAAAUACUCCUGACUGACCGAUAGUGAACCAGUACCGUGAGGGAAAGGCGAAAAGAACCCCGGCGAGGGGAGUGAAAAAGAACCUGAAACCGUGUACGUACAAGCAGUGGGAGCCUACUUGUUAGGUGACUGCGUACCUUUUGUAUAAUGGGUCAGCGACUUAUAUUCUGUAGCAAGGUUAACCGUAUAGGGGAGCCGCAGGGAAACCGAGUCUUAACUGGGCGUUAAGUUGCAGGGUAUAGACCCGAAACCCGGUGAUCUAGCCAUGGGCAGGUUGAAGGUUGGGUAACACUAACUGGAGGACCGAACCGACUAAUGUUGAAAAAUUAGCGGAUGACUUGUGGCUGGGGGUGAAAGGCCAAUCAAACCGGGAGAUAGCUGGUUCUCCCCGAAAGCUAUUUAGGUAGCGCCUCGUGAACUCAUCUUCGGGGGUAGAGCACUGUUUCGGCUAGGGGGUCAUCCCGACUUACCAACCCGAUGCAAACUACGAAUACCGAAGAAUGUUAUCACGGGAGACACACGGCGGGUGCUAACGUCCGUCGUGAAGAGGGAAACAACCCAGACCGCCAGCUAAGGUCCCAAAGUCAUGGUUAAGUGGGAAACGAUGUGGGAAGGCACAGACAGCCAGGAUGUUGGCUUAGAAGCAGCCAUCAUUUAAAGAAAGCGUAAUAGCUCACUGGUCGAGUCGGCCUGCGCGGAAGAUGUAACGGGGCUAAACCAUGCACCGAAGCUGCGGCAGCGACACUAUGUGUUGUUGGGUAGGGGAGCGUUCUGUAAGCCGUUGAAGGUGGCCUGUGAGGGUUGCUGGAGGUAUCAGAAGUGCGAAUGCUGACAUAAGUAACGAUAAAGCGGGUGAAAAGCCCGCUCGCCGGAAGACCAAGGGUUCCUGUCCAACGUUAAUCGGGGCAGGGUGAGUCGACCCCUAAGGCGAGGCCGAAAGGCGUAGUCGAUGGGAAACAGGUUAAUAUUCCUGUACUCGGUGUUACUGCGAAGGGGGGACGGAGAAGGCUAUGUUAGCCGGGCGACGGUUGUCCCGGUUUAAGCAUGUAGGCGGGAAG